CGGCGAGUGAAGCGGCAACAGCUCAAAUUUGAAAUCUGGCUCUUUCAGGGUCCGAGUUGUAAUUUGCAGAGGGCGCUUUGGCGUUGGCAGCGGUCCAAGUUCUUUGGAACAGGACGUCACAGAGGGUGAGAAUCCCGUACGUGGUCGCUAGCCUUCGCCGUGUAAAGCCCCUUCGACGAGUCGAGUUGUUUGGGAAUGCAGCUCUAAAUGGGAGGUAAAUUUCUUCUAAAGCUAAAUACUGGCCAGAGACCGAUAGCGCACAAGUAGAGUGAUCGAAAGAUGAAAAGCACUUUGGAAAGAGAGUCAAAUAGCACGUGAAAUUGUUGAAAGGGAAGCGCUUGCAGCCAGACUUGCCUGUAGUUGCUUAUCUGGACUUUUGUCCGGUGCACUCUUCUGCGGGCAGGCCAGCAUCAGUUUGGGCGGUUGGAUAAAGGUCUCUGUCAUGUACCUCCUUUCGGGGAGGCCUUAUAGGGGAGACGACAUGCAACCAGCCUGGACUGAGGUCCGCGCAUCUGCUAGGAUGCUGGCGUAAUGGCUGUAAGCGGCCCGUCUUGAAACACGGACCAAGGAGUCUAACAUCUAUGCGAGUGUUUGGGUGUCAAGCCCAGACGCGUAAUGAAAGUGAACGGAGGUGGGAACCCUUUGGGUGCACCAUCGACCGAUCCUGAUGUCUUCGGAUGGAUUUGAGUAAGAGCAUGGCUGUUGGGACCCGAAAGAUGGUGAACUAUGCUUGAAUAGGGUGAAGCCAGAGGAAACUCUGGUGGAGGCUCGCAGCGGUUCUGACGUGCAAAUCGAUCGUCAAAUUUGGGCAUA
rnacentral:rRNA from 1 species